UACGGAGGGGGCUAGCGUUGUUCGGAAUUACUGGGCGUAAAGCGCAUGUAGGCGGCAACGCAAGUCGGGCGUGAAAUCCCACGGCUCAACCGUGGAAGUGCACUCGAAACUGCGUAGCUAGAGUCCUGGAGAGGAAGGUGGAAUGCUUGGUGUAGAGGUGAAAUUCGUAGAUAUCAAGCGGAACACCGGUGGCGAAGGCGGCCUUCUGGACAGUGACUGACGCUGAGAUGCGAAAGCGUGGGGAGCAAACAGG
rnacentral:rRNA from 1 species